GUGGGGAAUAUUGGACAAUGGGGGGAACCCUGAUCCAGCCAUGCCGCGUGUGUGAAGAAGGCCUUUUGGUUGUAAAGCACUUUAAGCGAGGAGGAGGCUACCGAGAUUAAUACUCUUGGAUAGUGGACGUUACUCGCAGAAUAAGCACCGGCUAACUCUGUGCCAGCAGCCGCGGUAAUACAGAGGGUGCAAGCGUUAAUCGGAUUUACUGGGCGUAAAGCGCGCGUAGGUGGCCAAUUAAGUCAAAUGUGAAAUCCCCGAGCUUAACUUGGAAAUUGCAUUCGAUACUGGUUGGCUAGAGUAUGGGAGAGGAUGGUAGAAUUCCAGGUGUAGCGGUGAAAUGCGUAGAGAUCUGGAGGAAUACCGAUGGCGAAGGCAGCCAUCUGGCCUAAUACUGACACUGAGGUGCGAAAGCAUGGGGAGCAAACAGGAUUAGAAACCCUAGUAGUCC
rnacentral:rRNA from 1 species